rnacentral:rRNA from 1 species
GACGAACGCUGGCGGCGUGCUUAACACAUGCAAGUCGAACGGAAAGGCCUGCUUUCCCUUGUGGAUUGCGGGUACUCGAGUGGCGAACGGGUGAGUAACACGUGAGUGAUCUGCCCCCAACUUGGGUAUAAGCCUGGGAAACUGGGUCUAAUUCCCGAUAGGACUGCAGGGUGGUGCCUGUGGUGGAAAACGAUUUUCUAGUGGUUGGGGAUGAGCUCGCGGCCUAUCAGCUUGUUGGUGGGGUAAUGGCCUACCAAGGCGGCGACGGGUAGCCGGCCUGAGAGGGUGGACGGCCACAUUGGGACUGGGAUACGGCCCAGACUCCUGCGGGAGGCAGCAGUGGGGAAUAUUGCACAAUGGGCGGAAGCCUGAUGCAGCGACGCCGCGUGGGGGAUGACGGCCUUCGGGUUGUAAACUCCUUUCGACCGCGAGGAAGCCACCUGGUUGGAAGGGUGGUGACGGUAGUGGUAGAAGAAGCACCGGCUAACUACGUG